UCCCUGUGCCUUGCACCUUCUGCUCCUUAUUACUUAUCCCCCAAAUACCCUGAGCCCCUUGUCUUCAGUGGGUGGACUCGAGAUUUAGACCAGUGAGUUCUUUGGUCUCCUGCUCUGCUGCGUGUGAAUAAGCCCUGUCUGCUGAAGACCUCGGCAUCUCCUCUCAGGGUUUGGCUCCUGUCUCUCAGGAAGAACCUGUGGCAUUUACUAGAAUAAAGUAUAAAACGCACUUUAAACCGUGAUCGACUAGAAUGGAAAGGAUGCAGUCAAUGCUUCUUUGUUACUGCCCUUAUAAAGCUAAGGAGAAACUCCAGCAUGCUCUUAGAUCCAGGAAUAACAGUUCCCAGGCAAAUACACCAUCAACAGAGUGUAUAAUCUCAGCACAUGGAGGACCCCCCUGGAGAUGGAAAUGACAACCCACUACAGUAUUCUUGCCUGGAGAUCCCAUGACCGAGGACCCUGGUGGGCUAUGUUCUAUAAUGUCACAAAGAGUCAAACAUGACUUAGCAACUGAACAACAGCUCCCUGACCCCAAAUUAGGUAAAAUUUCCACCCUAUCACGCACCCUAUAGCAUACUAACCAAUCACCUAAUGCCACUCUUCCAGCAGGAACUUUCUCUGUUUUGAGGCAAUAAAAAUUCUCUGUUAGCCUUUGGAAGCGGCUGGCUCUCCCUUGAGUUGGCCUGUUUUUCUAGCAGUGUCACCCACUCUAAUAAAC
ensembl:lncRNA